AUCCAUCAUCCUGAGCAAUUGGGGCGGCGAUGCGGGCGAGCUUCACGAUAGUGGGGAGGACCAGGCCGCGGUGAAGGCAGGUCAUGCGCUCCUCACGCUCCACGAACGGAACCUGCGCACGGAGGCGGUAGCGCGGGGUGGCAGCCGGCAAUGAGGCGGCCGCGCUACGUGACGAGCUACGGGUCCCCCUUUGUGAUGUUUUGGCAUCGCUCCUUCAUCGCACAUCCUCAGGUACGUCAAUUCACUUCCUUCCCUUCCCUUCGUCCCUCGGUCCCACGCUCGUGGCGCUGAAGUGGUGGCAACAGGCGAUGGCGGUGGUGUCGCUGAUGGCGGCGAGGACAGCAUGUGGCAGCUCCCGAAGCAUGAACACGACCGCACCUCGGGCCUGCCGUCUGCCAAGAUAUGGCUCUGGCCGAUUGACAAUGGAGGUUUGGGAUCCUUCCUCUCAGCACCCACUCCUGAAAGAAU